GCUAACUCUGUGCCAGCAGCCGCGGUAAUACAGAGGGUGCAAGCGUUAAUCGGAAUUACUGGGCGUAAAGGGAGCGUAGGUGGCUCGAUAAGUCAGAUGUGAAAUCCCCGGGCUUAACCUGGGAACUGCAUCUGAUACUGUUGAGCUAGAGUAUGUGAGAGGGAGGUAGAAUUCCAGGUGUAGCGGUGAAAUGCGUAGAGAUCUGGAGGAAUACCGAUGGCGAAGGCAGCCUUCUGGCAUAAUACUGACACUGAGGCUCGAAAGCGUGGGUAGCAAACAGGAUUAGAUACCCUGGUAGUCCACACCGUAAACGAUGUCUACUAGUCGUUGGGUCCCUUGAGGACUUAGUGACGCAGCUAACGCAAUAAGUAGACCGCCUGGGGAGUACGGCCGCAAGGUUAAAACUCAAAUGUAUUGACGGGGGCCCGCACAAGCGGUGGAGCAUGUGGUUUAAUUCGAUGCAACGCGAAGAACCUUACCUGGUCUUGACAU
rnacentral:rRNA from 1 species